UACGUAGGGCGCGAGCGUUGUCCGGAUUUAUUGGGCGUAAAGAGCUCGUAGGCGGCUUGUUGCGUCGACCGUGAAAACCCGUGGCUCAACUGCGGGCUUGCGGUCGAUACGGGCGGGCUAGAGUUCGGUAGGGGAGACUGGAAUUCCUGGUGUAGCGGUGAAAUGCGCAGAUAUCGGGAGGAACACCGGUGGCGAAGGCGGGUCUCUGGGCCGAUACUGACGCUGAGGAGCGAAAGCGUGGGGAGCGAACAGG
rnacentral:rRNA from 1 species